GACGAACCGUACGAACGUUAUUCGGAAUUACUGGGCUUAAAGGGUGCGUAGGCUGCGCAGCAAGUUGGGUGUGAAAUCCCUCGGCUUAACCGAGGAACUGCGCCCAAAACUGCUGUGCUCGAGGGAGACAGAGGUGAGCGGAACUUAGGGUGGAGCGGUGAAAUGCGUUGAUAUCCUAAGGAACACCGGUGGCGAAAGCGGCUCACUGGGUCUCUUCUGACGCUGAGGCGCGAAAGCUAGGGGGAGCAAACAGG
rnacentral:rRNA from 1 species